rnacentral:rRNA from 1 species
AGUCGAGCGAUGAAACUACUUCGGUAGUGAAUUAGCGGCGAACGGGUGAGGAACACGUGAGGAAUCUGCCUUCUACACUGGGAUAACUCCGGGAAACCGGGGCUAAUACCGGAUAUGAAACUUGGUGGCAUCACCGAGUUUGGAAAGUUUUUCGGUAGAAGAUGACCUCGCGGCCUAUCAGCUUGUUGGUGAGGUAAUGGCUCACCAAGGCGACGACGGGUAGCCGGCCUGAGAGGGCGACCGGCCACACUGGGACUGAGACACGGCCCAGACUCCUACGGGAGGCAGCAGUGGGGAAUAUUGGGCAAUGGAGGAAACUCUGACCCAGCGACGCCGCGUGCGGGAUGAAGGCCUUCGGGUUGUAAACCGCUUUCAGUAGGGAAGAAGCGAAAGUGACGGUACCUACAGAAGAAGCACCGGCUAACUAUGUGCCAGCAGCCGCGGUAAUACAUAGGGUGCAAGCGUUGUCCGGAAUUAUUGGGCGUAAAGAGCUCGUAGGUGGUUCGUUACGUCGGAUGUGAAAAUCUGGGGCUCAACCCCAGACCUGCAUCCGAUACGGUCGAGCUAGAGUUUGGUAGGGGAGACUGGAAUUCCUGGUGUAGCGGUGGAAUGCGCAGAUAUCAGGAGGAACACCAAUGGCGAAGGCAGGUCUCUGGGCCAAUACUGACACUGAGGAGCGAAAGCGUGGGGAGCGAACAGGAUUAGAUACCCUGGUAGUCCACGCCGUAAACGGUGGGCGCUAGUUGUGGGAACCUUCCACGGUUUCUGCGACGCAGCUAACGCAUUAAGCGCCCCGCCUGGGGAGUACGAUCGCAAGAUUAAAACUCAAAGGAAUUGACGGGGCCCCGCACAAGCAGCGGAGCAUGCGGCUUAAUUCGACGCAACGCGAAGAACCUUAC